GGGUUGAGAGGAAUGAAGGAGGUGAGUAAGGGUUUUUUUUUUUUUAGUUUUGAGAAUGAAAAUGAUUAAAAUAAGAUAAGUGUUUCUGAUUUUUUUUCCAAUUAGAGUUAGAGUAGGGAUGACAGAGAAAAUGUUGGAGUGAAAGAGAUGAAAGAGAAAGGGUUGAGAGGAAUGAGAGAGGUGGGUAAGGGUUUGGGGAGUUUCUUUUUUUAUUUUUUU
rnacentral:lncRNA from 1 species